rnacentral:rRNA from 1 species
UAGGGAAUUUUCGGCAAUGGGGGCAACCCUGACCGAGCAACGCCGCGUGAGUGAAGACGGCCUGCGGGUAGUAAAGCUCUGUUGUAAGGGAAGAACGGUAGAUAGAGAAUAUCUAAGUGACGGUACCUUACCAGAAAGCCACGGCUAACUACGUGCCAGCAGCCGCGGUAAUACGUAGGUGGCGAGCGUGUUCCGGAAUUAUUGGGCGUAAAGGGUGCGUAGGCGGCCUGUUAAGUAAGUGGUUAAAUUGUUGGGCGCAACCCAAUCGAGCCACUUAAACUGGCAGGCUGGAGUAGUAGGGAGGAGAGUGGAAUUCCAUGGGUAGCAGUAAAAUGCGUAGAUAUUAGGAGGAACACCAGUGGCGGAGGCGGCGAUCUGGACAGUAACUGACGCUGAGGAGCGAAAGCAUGGGUAGCAAACAGG